rnacentral:rRNA from 1 species
AAGUAUCCUGUUGUGAAUACAUAGCAACAGGAGGCAAACCGGGGGAACUGAAACAUCUAAGUACCCCGAGGAAGAGAAAUCAACCGAGAUUCCGAAAGUAGCGGCGAGCGAAAUUGGAUUAGCCCUUAAGCUUUUAAUGAGACAGAUGAAGGCUCUGGAAAGUGCCGCAAUAAAGGGUGAUAGCCCCGUAAUCGACAUCUCAUCAUCAGUGAAAACGAGUAGGGCGGGACACGUGAUAUCCUGUCUGAAUAUGGGGGGACCAUCCUCCAAGGCUAAAUACUACUGACUGACCGAUAGUGAACCAGUACCGUGAGGGAAAGGCGAAAAGAACCCCUGUGAGGGGAGUGAAAUAGAACCUGAAACCGUGUCGUACAAGCAGUAGGAGCACCUUCGUGGUGUGACUGCGUACCUUUUGUAUAAUGGGUCAGCGACUUAAUUUUAGUAGCAAGGUUAACCGUUUAGGGGAGCCGUAGGGAAACCGAGUCUUAACUGGGCGUACAGUUGCUAGGAUUAGACCCGAAACCAGGUGAUCUAGCCAUGGGCAGGUUGAAGGUUGAGUAACAUCAACUGGAGGACCGAACCGACUAAUGUUGAAAAAUUAGCGGAUGACUUGUGGCUAGGGGUGAAAGGCCAAUCAAACCUGGAGAUAGCUGGUUCUCCCCGAAAGCUAUUUAGGUAGCGCCUCGGACGAAUACUACUGGGGGUAGAGCACUGUUAAGGCUAGGGGGUCAUCCCGACUUACCAACCCUUUGCAAACUCCGAAUACCAGUAAGUACUAUCCGGGAGACACACGGCGGGUGCUAACGUCCGUCGUGGAGAGGGAAACAACCCAGACCGCCAGCUAAGGUCCCAAAGUAUAGCUAAGUGGGAAACGAUGUGGGAAGGCUCAGACAGCCAGGAUGUUGGCUUAGAAGCAGCCAUCAUUUAAAGAAAGCGUAAUAGCUCACUGGUCGAGUCGGCCUGCGCGGAAGAUGUAACGGGGCUAAGCUAUACACCGAAGCUGCGGCUACGUACCUUAGGGUAUGUGGGGUAGGGGAGCGUUCUGUAAGCCGUUGAAGGUGGUCUGUAAGGGCUGCUGGAGGUAUCAGAAGUGCGAAUGCUGACAUGAGUAACGAUAAAGGGAGUGAAAAACUCCCUCGCCGGAAGACCAAGGGUUCCUGUCCAACGUUAAUCGGGGCAGGGUAAGUCGACUCCUAAGGCGAGGCCGAAAGGCGUAGUCGAUGGGAAACGGGUUAAUAUUCCCGUACUUCUUACAAUUGCGAUGGGGGGACGGAGAAGGCUAGGUGGGCCUGGCGACGGUUGUCCAGGUUCAAGUACGUAGGCGGGUGGUUUAGGUAAAUCCGGACCGCUACUAACGCUGAGAUACGAUGUCGAGCUACUACGGUAGUGAAGUCAUUGAUGCCAUGCUUCCAGGAAAAGCCUCUAAGCUUCAGAUUGUAAGGAAUCGUACCCCAAACCGACACAGGUGGUCGGGUAGAGAAUACCAAGGCGCUUGAGAGAACUCGGGUGAAGGAACUAGGCAAAAUGGUACCGUAACUUCGGGAGAAGGUACGCUCUUAUCAGUGAAGUCCCUCGCGGAUGGAGCAGACGAGAGUCGCAGAUACCAGGUGGCUGCAACUGUUUAUUAAAAACACAGCACUGUGCAAAAUCGUAAGAUGACGUAUACGGUGUGACGCCUGCCCGGUGCCGGAAGGUUAAUUGAUGGGGUUAGACUUCGGUCGAAGCUCUUGAUCGAAGCCCCGGUAAACGGCGGCCGUAACUAUAACGGUCCUAAGGUAGCGAAAUUCCUUGUCGGGUAAGUUCCGACCUGCACGAAUGGCGUAAUGAUGGCCACGCUGUCUCCACCCGAGACUCAGUGAAAUUGAAAUCGCUGUGAAGAUGCAGUGUACCCGCGGCUAGACGGAAAGACCCCGUGAACCUUUACUACAGCUUGGCACUGAACAUUGAACCUACAUGUGUAGGAUAGGUGGGAGACUUUGAAAC